UGAAAUCCAAGGAAAUGUUUAACCCAUGUUUGAAAUAUUUGUAUCUAAAAUGUCUGUUCUUUUUGGUCUGAGGUAUUCAUUACCCCGAAACUUGCACUUCUUAUCCGACAUGCACUUUUACCAGAGUUGGCUCCACAAGAACUGAGGCUGUGUGUCACGUCUUCGGAUUACCUCUCAGCCCUUUGUGUAGACAUGUGGGCAGGCUGUAGGGCUGCAAGGCACCACAGACCUGUUAUUCUUUCUUCUACAAGAAAGCCUCAAUUUGUGCAGAGAAGCAAGGAUGGCAAAGUGACAUUUUCUUUGCGAAUUCACUCCCCUGUGGCCAAAGAGGAGGAACUGAAAGAGAAGUGCAAUGAGUGUUUAUAUUACAAUUCUCCAGGGAACGCAGUCCAUUUUUAGAGUUUAAAAUUUUUAUUUGCUUUCUCUACAGAAUAAAUUUCUUCAGGAGGAGAACACUUCAUACAAAUAAAAUUAAUGCUAAUCUUCUUAUUGUGAGAUUUCUGUCAGCUGACAUAAUCUGGACAUUUUCAAAUUAAUUUUUAUUGGAGCUAGUUGCCUCACAAUGUUGUGUUAGUCUCUGCUGUUCAGCAAAGUUGAAUCAGUCACACAUACACACAUAUCCCCUAUUUCUUGAAUUCCCUUCCCAUUUAGGUCACCACAGAGCGCUGAGUAGACUUGCCUGUGCUACAAAGUAGAUUCUCAUUAAUGUUUUGAAUAUUGUAUUAAAAUAAAAUGUCAAAUUGUAAAUGAAUUCCUCAAUCUGACAUACAAAAGAAUUUAUAGUCUGAUCCAAACUUUCCUAUUCAACAUCAUAUGUUAAGUGGUCUAGCCAAAGUUUAUACUCAAUUUCUGAGUCGUCUUGAAAUCACGUAGGUCAUCUGGAGAUAUUUUUAUUUAUUAUUCUCUCUGCCUAGGUUGUUUCUUCCUUCUCCAAUAAUAAAUGCGUAAGAUACCACAGACGUAGAGGCAAAACUAAUUACUCCCUCUCCUCUGUGUCAUAGUUAUUCAUUUCACACUUGUGUAGAAUUGUGGUGUAUCAGUUUGACUGUCUUCCUGCCGUCCUGAUCUGGUGAGGGACUUAACUGUGUCAUUCUCAUAUUUAUAUCAUCAGAGAUAUACACAAAGCAUGUCUCUCAAAUGUUUGUUGGAUGAAUGAAUGGAUGGAUGAAACUGAAUAUUGGUCAUACUGAUUCAGCAUAAGUGAUUCUCCGGAUGCUUUGUAUUCCUUAGCCUUGUAUCUUAGCCUUGACCUGCACUUUUGUGUAUUCUCCAGUACAGCAUUCUACUUCUAGUCACAAUAAGUCAGUGUGAAGGUGAUGCUUCUAGCAAAUGUAUAUUUCCUCCAUUCCUGAACAGAACCAUCACUGGGAAUAGGAACUUAUGUAUAUCACCAUUGCUGCUUUCCUGUUAGUAAUUGGCAUUAGGAUUUUUCUUAUUUUCUUCUAUUUAAUUAUGAUAGUUUCCAAUAUAUAGAAUAAUAGUAGAUAUAAAUACUUGACUCCAUCACCUACUAGCACUUUUUGAUAUUUUGUCCUAUUUUCUUCACUAAUUGCUUUCCUGGACUAUUUUGUGAUAAACUACAUAUAUCGAGCUUUUUUAUUCCUAAAUAUUUACAUUGAAUCUCUCUAAAAUGUUCCUAUGUAUUUAUAAUAAUAUUAUCCUAAAAUAAAAAUUAACAGUAAUUUCUUAGAAUAGUCUAAUACCCUGUCCAUAUUCAGUUCCCUCUAGGUGUCUUCACAAUGUAUUUUACUGCUGGUUUGUUUGAACUAGAACCCAAUAAAUGUCCACACAUUUCACUUA